CAUCAUCUCCCACUUGCAGUAUUAACAAAACGUCAUUGUUUCCACUUAGGGAUCCCCUUCUGCCUGAAUUAUCUCCAAAUCUCAGAUUCAAAAAAUGACUGAUCAGUUUGCACUGAUAAGCACCUGAGCCCAAGUCCACUACGGCCAUUUUGUCACUGCCACAAGGUGGCGCUAUUGAAAAAUGGUCCAGCUUACAAGCACUAAACGCCCACGUUGUAAUAACCGUUAGGGUCUCUGCAGAGGCCACGGUGGUCCUUCUAAGGAGGUGGACAGACCCCCGACCCCGCAGUCGCAUCUCAGUGAGCCCUGCGUUCGGAGUGACUGAUCUUCGCUUCACGUCCUGCAGUCUGAGAAGCCUCCAUCUCCAUCAGAGCGCCUGCCGCUCAUUAACUCCAUUCGCGUGUGUUUCAAGGCCCUGACAGCUGUUGUCGCUUCCUCCUUGGGGAUCCACAUCUCCACAGCCCACACAUGUUUUCCUUCAUCAGUCCUCAAGGAGAACCAAAAGCGUAGCUAAUGACAACCCUUCCCCAGCAGGCGGUGCUCCCGGCCUGCCGGCUUGCCUUGCCUUCGCGAGCCUCGACCGCAGCGCCACUUGGAGCCUCGGCGUUCGCGUCAGCUCUUCACAGGGACCGAGACGACCUCCCUCAGCGCCACUCAGCGCCUCAGCCUUUGCCUCAGCUCGUCACAGGGACAAAGACGACCUCCCUCAGCGCCACUCAGCGCCUCAGCCUUUACCUCAGCUCUUCACAGGGACCGAGGCGACCUCCCUCAGCGCCACUCAGCGCCUCAGCCUUUGCCUCAGCUCUUCACAGGGACCGAGACGACCUCCCUCAGCGCCUCACCCUUUGCCUCAGCUCUUCACAGGGACCGAGACGACCUCCCUCAGCGCCUCACCCUUUGCCUCAGCUCUUCACAGGGACCGAGACGACCUUCCUCAGCGCCACUCAGCGCCUCAGCCUUUGCCUCAGCUCUUCACAGGGGCCGAGGACGACCUCCCUGUCUGCGACCGUGUGGGGAAGGGAGACGAGGGUGACCCAGGUUUAAUCCAGAAAAGCUGCACCUCCGCGUAACUUGUGAGGAGCCGUCGAGCAGGCAUGGGGGGUGCGCCCCGGUCUGCGCUUCCCCGGGCGCAGGAUCCCGGGCAGGAGGCCACGUUUAGGCCAGUCGACCCCAGUUGCCGCCACUCCUCUCGGAAUGCCCCGGAGUCUUCCUGUCUCUGGCGCCUCCCGCCUUAGAGGAACUUAGAGGUGUCUCUGAUAACGGUUCAGCCCUGCGUGUCUCGACCCUUACCUGUGCGUCUUCCCGCGACCGCCUGUGGAAAAGCAAGAGGACAUUCCGCGCGGAGGGAAGAAGACGCCCGCCGUCCGCAGCGCUACACGGUCAUUACCGUGCAAGCCCCGGGGAGGAGCAGAAUGGCGUCCUGCAGCUCCAGAGCCCUCUAAGCUCCUCGAAGGACGGAGGCUGCGCCCACUCUGGGCCGUGAUUAGUAAGCCUGACCCAGUGAGACGGCCUUGCCCAAAAGACAAUGUUCCCUGAAGGAACAGACCUUUACUCACCCCGAUGCCUCAGGAGGCGCAGCCUGAAUGUGCGGGACUGAAUUAGGACAGAACUGAAGGCCCCUAGAGCCACACUGGUAUUUGGCAGAGUAUAAAGGGCUGCAGGAAAAAGGGGUGUCGGAGAGAAAGAGUCCCAUCUACAAAAGCAUUACUAUCUAAGCACGGGUUAGCUUUGGGUACCCAUGAAUGACUCAGUUCUGUGGCUGGAAAAAUACCCCAAGAGGAUUAUUAGAAACGUUUCAGAUUCUUUGGUUCAUCAAAAGACACUUCUGCCUAUUUUCUGGUUAUGGUAUGAGAUUAUGAAGGAUCAUACAAGAAACUAAAAAUUGCAUUGCAAUGGGAACAGAUGCAAGUGCUGACAGGUCUUUGUGACAUCUUGGAAACGGUUAUUCUGAAAUCCUAUUUGCAAUCAGUUGGAUUACAGCCUCCUGAGAUUCACCGUCCUGAUUCUGGCCCUGAACUAGAUUUGUCGAGAGAUUAAUAAGGUUGUGAUCUUUCUGUCCUUCAGCUUUUGCUUAACUGGCAUAAUAAAGAUGAGGAAAUGACUAAUAGAGCUCGUCUU
rnacentral:lncRNA from 13 species